rnacentral:rRNA from 1 species
CUGCCCGAAAUGCUUGAGCACUGGUUAUCUGGGAUGUGGCUUUUGGGCCUUUUGUGCCAUGUCACGGUGCCCUUUGCAGGCGGGCGCGUUCAUGGGCGUGGCACGUUCUGUGCGUGUGGCGCUCCUCUGGACGUGUCCGUGCUGGGUGAACCUAUCGAAGCAUCACACGGUAAUUGCCCACCACAGCUCGUUGCUUGGUCACCCGCUGGGUCUAAACGUGCAGGAUGCUCAUCCAGCUUCCGGACUGUCAAUGUUGACGCGUGCAUGGGCGAUGGUGCCGUACGGAGGGCUUUUCCGUGCGCGUGCGCGCUCGCGUCACGUCCGUGAUGUUUGCUGGCUCUGACUGCCGACUUGUAAACGUGGUGUGAUCCAUUUGCGGCGACAAAGCUGGAAUUGGCCAGACGCAUGCAACCCCAGCACUGCGGCCAUGUGUCGGUCGCGGUGCACCUGCGGGCAGGCUGCCUGCGUCGCAUGUUUUCGAUGCAUACCCUCAGCCUGGGAGUUGGUCUGAUUGGUGAUGAUCUAGCGACCAUCGGUCACGUCUCGAAACACGGGCCAAGGAGUAUAGCAUGUGUGCAAGUCU